ACUAUACUGGCCACCGUUGUACUUGAAGCACCCAGGCAUGGAGAAAAUCCCCUUUCUCUUACUGUUCUUUGGAUCGAGGUGUGGCCGAGGCAGGGAUGGCGCAAAGCUUCUGGCCGCGGAUCUAGCGCUGCUCGCCUUCCCAUGAUGCGGCAUCUCAUUCUCAUCUCUGCUGAACUGGAGAGACAGACGCCGGGACAGAGAGCUGGGUCAUCGCGUUCGACGACCAUCUCCUCCAAAGUUUUCCUCGUCGUUCUCGUAUUAUCCAAUCGCCCAGGAUAGAGAUCGGCAUGCCGGGCAUGGUCGAUGCGGCAUAGAUACGCAUCAUUCCUACUUCCUCCGUAGCGCCCAAUUCUUCACAGGUGAGAAGGAAACUCAGAUGGUUGGGUGUGACUUAUGUAGAAAAUAGUAGCAUGCCACUUCAUAAUUUGGGCUGGCUUCGAUAUUGGUUGAGCGCCAAGUCUGAACAUCUCGGAUCAUAGCGUGUUUGCCUCAAUCGUCCUGGUGGUGGGAUCGUCGAGUCACGGCGUCGUAGAGUUGGUUGGCUUCAAUUUUCCUGGUCGUGGUGCUGAGUCGCGACUUGCUGUGUCUUUGAUUUCCAGGCGGAUGGUGGGCAUGUGCUGGCUGCUGGGUGCGGCCGGCUAUGUAUUCUGAUGGAUGAGUUCUGGUCGUGUCCUUAUGGAGUCCUUGUAUGUUUAUAUUCUUUUUUCCAAUUAAAGGCUAUAAGUGACAUUACACUGAUGGGUGCGGCCAGAUUUGUAUUUUUAUGGAGACUCUUUCCAUAAGCAAUCUUUGUAUGUGUUUA